rnacentral:rRNA from 1 species
GUAGGGAGCGAGCGUUGUCCGGAAUUACUGGGUGUAAAGGGUGCGUAGGCGGCUCUGGUAAGUUAGUGGUGAGAACUAUGGGCUUAACCCAUAGCCUGCCAUUAAAACUGCUGGGCUUGAGUGAAGUAGAGGUAGGCGAAAUUCCCGGUGUAGCGGUGAAAUGCGUAGAGAUCGGGAGGAACACCAGUGGCGAAGGCGGCCUACUGGGCUUUAACUGACGCUGAGGCACGAAAGUAUGGGUAGCAAACAGGAUUAGAUACCCUGGUAGUCCAUACCGUAAACGAUGAUUACUAGGUGUGGGGGGUCUAACCCCCUCCGUGCCGGAGUAAACACAAUAAGUAAUCCACCUGGGGAGUACGACCGCAAGGUUG